CACAUUUUCGUCUGCUUAUUAUUGAUUUGCAUAUUCUGUGUUCUAAAACUUCGAGACAAGUGCUUUCCGAACAGAACCACACAUAGGUUUAAAAUAACCGGGGUUUAGCAAAGGAAUAUAUUUCAACAAUUUCCAAAUGGAAACUUCAAAUCGAGUUGUCUGUGGAAUGGUAUUGGGUGAAGCUUCGGAAUCGGACGAAGAGUCUGAUGUUCCAAAUAGUUCUACUCCUGCCAAUAUAAGCUUUCUUCCUAUCAAUAGUAACACGAAAAAGACUCCAAAACACAGAUUAAAGUACAACACUCUUCUCCACUAUAGGCUCCGUGACAGCAAUAUAGCUGUGAGGAAUGACAUAGUGAAUAUUGUUGAACAACCCCUACAAAAAGCCACACAACGUCUUCAGGAAUCCUUGCAAAUUCAAAGUAGAACAAGAGCAUCACUUCAUGAAAUGCCGCGCUACCUGCAUCAGUUGAGCGUUGCCUUGGUCGGGUUACAAGAUCGCUUGCCGACCAUUUGCAAUACUAAAAUCGUCCCGGAAAAGUAGGGUAACUGAGCAAGCCAUCUAUUCUUCAUAAUAUUCCAAUCAUUCGUCCGUCUCUUGUGAAGUCCCAGGAGGCUGAGGCUCAAUUUCAUUCUUUUCAGCCUGUUGCUGCUGUUGAAUGAAUUUGAGUGUUUCCUUUUGUCUCUUUCUGGCCAAUUUGGCUUUUGUCGUAGAACUCAUAUCUGUCUUGUGAGCCUUUGGCUUUCCUUCAAGUUGAUUCUUUAUGGCCUCUGUGAUAUCAAUCUAUAAAAACCAGUCUGAAAGUAAUAAGGUUGUCAAAUGA